AUAGAGGAAAACUGAUGGGAAGCAAGUGGUUUUUCUGAAGAUGACUGCAGCUUUGACAUUGAAAGUGUAGACAUGCACAGUGACUUCAGACUCAACAUACUACACGCCUACAAUUUCACAUCUGGACUGUAUCUAUUCCUUUUCAUUGUAAUUAUGUCCCUUUGGAUUGGAUUUUGCUGUCUGUGUUUCAAGUGACUGCAUGAGGAAGUUUGCUUUCAUGCAGCCAAGGCUGAUGUUAAACCAAGGAGCAAUUUUUUGAACAUUGUGACCAUAAUGCUUUUUAAUCAAAACCACGUGGGAAUUGCUGUUCUGCUAUCUCUGUGAGGAUAAUAUUAGCCGUGUUUCAUCUUCUUCACACUGUGCUUACUAGAGUCCUAGCUUUGUGCUAAAAGCUCCUGUGGAGGCAUUCUGUAAAAUUGAAUGGAGAUUAAAACUAAUUGCUUUCUAUGUAAGCCCUGGUAGAAAUUUGAAUAAUAAGUUGAAGAAAAUGUCUUUUUGGUGCUAAAUGGAAGUGUGCUACUCCUACUGCUCACAGAAAUAAUUACACAGAGAAGUACCAGUGAUGGCUCCAGUACCGUGUUUAUAAAGAGAGCAGCAAUAGGAAUAUGAAUAAAUCAACAGAACACCUUCAAGCAAGGUGAAUUAUCUUUUCGUUUUAAACACUACUCAAGAUUGAAAUUGUAAAUAAAUAUUUCUUUCAACUUUUCAGAUUAAAGACGUAUUAGUAACCCUGUUAUUUUUCCCCUUGUGCUUUCCAGUUUUAAUUGUGAGCACGUAAACUUUAGUAAAGAAUGAAAUAACUAAUCAAAGCCAACAGUGGCCAGUGUUUCAUUGUUUUAUGCUCUGUGUAAAAUAGUUUGUCUUACGUCUGAAGGCAGAUGGUAGGUGAAGGGAAGGUAGGACUGGAGAACUACUACUUUCAGAGGAAUGGAUGAUUUAACAUGCAUUUUGGUGUGGGAAUUGUCUCUGUUUUCUUCCAUUGAAGGGAGGGUCAGCAACUUAAUCUCUUGGAGGUUUCUGCUGUUGAGGAAGGGCAGUUUUUCCAACUUUUCCAGAGUUAUCGUGGGUUAUGAUCAGCCCAAGGAAGCAGUGUGAAUGAGCCAGUUCAGACCAGAAUGUAGAACUUUGGGCACCAUCUUUUUUACAGGCUUAAUUUCAAUUGCCAACUCCUUUAUCCACAACUACUAAGUGUACAAAAGCAGAGUUGAAUCAGUGUUCCUCUGUCCCUGAAGCUGCAUGUGAAAAUGGUAAUUGGGGUGAUUUGUCCAAGGCAAUACACAGAAAACCAGAACCUGUCACUGUAACAGAAUGCAGUUGUCUAUAGCCUGUUUCUGAGCUCCUUCUGCUCCUGUACAGCCACAUUCAUUUCAUUUCAUAGAGUAGUCAUGAACUAGAGUUGCAAGGGAAUUUGCUUGGCUGUGUCUUAUGGCUACUGAUGGUGUCCACUGGAGUCCUCAGGAGUGCAAAAAGAACAUAAUGGAAAGAAGAAAGAAGAAAAAGAGGAUUCCUGAAUCAGAAGCAGAUAACUCAGAUGUCCAAUAAUUUUAAAAGCAGUGAUAAAUACUAUUACAAUGAUACUGAUGGGUUGUUCUACAUCACGAGACACUAAAUGCAUCAUUCUUUUUCAUGAUUAUAAUCCAUGCUGGCAGCCUUGCACAUCAGCCCUCAGACUGGAAAUUUCAACCUUGUCUUCAAUCUGUUUCCCCUGGAAGCAUUAUGUUUGGGUUUUUUUUACCACAGUAGAAAUGGGCUGAAUGUUUCAGUUUUACUCCUGAUCUUCACAUUUAGCUUUUGAAGAAGAAAUGUUGGUGUUAGGGGAGGAGUGUGGAAUGAGAGGAAUAAUUUUUAACAUAGAUUUA